rnacentral:rRNA from 1 species
UACGGAGGGUGCAAGCGUUAUCCGGAUUCACUGGGUUUAAAGGGUGCGUAGGCGGGUUGGUAAGUCCGUGGUGAAAUCCCCAAGCUUAACUUGGGAACUGCCGUGGAUACUAUCAAUCUUGAAUAUCGUGGAGGUAAGCGGAAUAUGUCAUGUAGCGGUGAAAUGCUUUAGAUAUGACAUAGAACACCAAUUGCGUAGGCAGCUUACUACACGAUCAUUGACCGCUGAGGCACGAAAGCGUGGGGGAGCAAAC